rnacentral:rRNA from 1 species
UCGAACGCGUCUCCGUUAAUGAUUUUAGGUGCUUGCACUUGAAAGAUUUAACAUUGAGACGAGUGGCGAACUGGUGAGUAACACGUGGGUAACCUGCCCUUGAAGUAGGGGAUAACACUUGGAAACAGGUGCUAAUACCGUAUAACAACCAAAACCACCUGGUUUUGGUUUAAAAGACGGCUUCGGCUGUCACUUUAGGAUGGACCCGCGGCGCAUUAGCUUGUUGGUAAGGUAACGGCUUACCAAGGCGAUGAUACGUAGCCGACCUGAGAGGGUAAUCGGCCACAUUGGGACUGAGACACGGCCCAAACUCCUACGGGAGGCAGCAGUAGGGAAUCUUCCACAAUGGACGAAAGUCUGAUGGAGCAACGCCGCGUGAGUGAUGAAGGGUUUCGGCUCGUAAAACUCUGUUGUUGGAGAAGAACAGGUGUCAGAGUAACUGUUGACAUCUUGACGGUAUCCAACCAGAAAGCCACGGCUAACUACGUGCCAGCAGCCGCGGUAAUACGUAGGUGGCAAGCGUUGUCCGGAUUUAUUGGGCGUAAAGCGAGCGCAGGCGGUUUUUUAGGUCUGAUGUGAAAGCCUUCGGCUUAACCGGAGAAGUGCAUCGGAAACCGGGAGACUUGAGUGCAGAAGAGGACAGUGGAACUCCAUGUGUAGCGGUGAAAUGCGUAGAUAUAUGGAAGAACACCAGUGGCGAAGGCGGCUGUCUGGUCUGUAACUGACGCUGAGGCUCGAAAGCAUGGGUAGCGAACAGGAUUAGAUACCCUGGUAGUCCAUGCCGUAAACGAUGAGUGCUAAGUGUUGGAGGGUUUCCGCCCUUCAGUGCUGCAGCUAACGCAUUAAGCACUCCGCCUGGGGAGUACGACCGCAAGGU